rnacentral:rRNA from 1 species
UACGUAGGGGGCUAGCGUUGUCCGGAAUCAUUGGGCGUAAAGCGCGUGUAGGCGGUCCGGUAAGUCCGCUGUGAAAGUCGGGGGCUCAACCCUCGAAAGCCGGUGGAUACUGUCGGGCUCGAGUACGGGAGAGGCGAGUGGAAUUCCUGGUGUAGCGGUGAAAUGCGCAGAUAUCAGGAGGAACACCGAUUGCGAAGGCAGCUCG